UUACCUGGAACAUUUAUAGUAACUUUCAUUAAUAACAUUAACAAACUUCUUCACAUUCAAAACAAUGUGCGAAUUAUGCAAUUUUUGAAGACUUUAAUAAAGUUUUUUUUCAUAAGCAGCCUAAUUUUCGGUUCGUCUCGCGGAACCGAAUUGUCACCGCUGGUACAACUAGCAAAACUAUUUUAAAGUUUUUAAACAAAUCAAAAUUUUACAAUAUAAGUGCAGCUAUACGACAAACAAUAGGCUAGCCUACUUAUUUUUUGUGUACCGUCCGAUACGAUCUAUCCAGCAGCCUACUGUUGCUAUGGUUACUUCCUCGGGAAAACCAAUUCCCUGGAGAACCCAACGCCUGAUAUAGCUAUAGCCUUUAGUAGCCUAUGCACUGAAAUUUUGAACUUUUCUUUGAAAAUGCUGUUGAGACGAACCAAAAACUGCAUACUUUUCAGAUUCACCCACUUCUAUAGGACUAUAUUUGAUUCAUGUUUUUUUUAUAUUCUUGUAGGCUAGUCUUACUUCAAUUUAGGCUGUUAAGUAUUAUGCAGAGAUUGUUAAAUUAUUAAUGAAAGUUAUGACGUGUUACUAAUUGCAGAUUAUAGGCUUAAUAAACUGCAGUGGAAUAUCAUAUCGAUCGCUGGUGAAAAAAGUCGCUGGUGUGAUUUCGGAGCUGCUGAAGUGAGAGCGAAUGCCAUGAGCCAUAAAACGCACCAAAUUCCCAUCUCGGUCAUGAUGCAAGGUGAAAUAACUGAAGCGGGAUGAGGUUUUGCAAAAGUCCAGAAGAGGUAAAGUCCAGAUGAGGGCAGGUGCUUGGUCCUCAGCAUGAAUCUGGUUUGAGAAGAAGCAGCAAUGACGUGACAUUUGAGCUGAAAUGAGGGGG